CCAAAUCACACAUCCACUAGACAAUCAAACACACAAGAUCACAAGGUACAUGAACAACAAAGGGAAAGAUACAAGGUAAGGUUCAUCUCCAAGAGGAGGUCUUGAUGAUAUCCUAGAUGGAUCUUCCCACAAGGGGGUCUUGAUGAUAUCCCGCAAGAUCUUCUCACAUGGAGGUCUUGAACUCCAUUGGAGUGGUAGUCUCUCUUUCUCAAGAGUAGAGAUAGGAGCAAAGCUCACCUAAGAAUGAGCUAUCAUAUUUGCUAACCCUAACUAGAGGAAGGGGAUGGAGUAUAUAUAGGCUAGUCCACGAAGGGGUAAGUGAGUAGGGGAUACAUGGGCCUUUGGCCCGAUUCUGCGCACAGGCAGGCGCCGGAUGUCCAGGCUGGGGCCCAGAUGUCCGGGCGUUCGCGGGAGGCCGGAUGUCCGGGGCAUGGGCCAGAUGUUCGGGCUGGUGAGGUUGGCCUCGGUGCUCUCUGGAUAGGGGCGUCGGAUUUCCGGGCUUGUGGCCCGAUGUCCUGGCUGUCGGGAGGCACUGGAUGUCCGGGCUUGCGGGCCGGAUGUCCGGGGCCUAUAGGUACUUGGCGGCUGGGCGGCUGCUGUGGGUGAAGCUCCAGGGGCCGGAUGUCCGGGGUCCUGGCCGGAUGUCCGGGUCCUGGGGGUUGUCUCCAUCUUCUUUCGUCGUCGCUUCCAGGCUUCCCUCGCGGAUGGUGUAGUUGUUCCUUGGCGCUUGCACUCCUCCUCAACAUCCGUGAAGCUCCGACAAUACCUAUGCAUGCACACGGGAGAAGUGUCAAGUAGUAUACCAUCCUCGAAGGGGUCAAGUGAGCACGUAUAAAGGAGAAGAACCACCUUUGAGUAUGUGAAGUAGAGGUCGCACGUGUCACUUUCCAAAUGGACUCUUGACAUGGUGAUGACCGUAGGAUGCUCCGCAUCAUCCCCUCCCCCUUGGAAAAGAUCCGACUUCGGAUCGAAAACCAAAUCACCAUGGGAAAGAGAUGGUGGUGCCGUGUCGAAGUGGUCGGUCACCAAGCACUCAUCAUCUUGAAACUCGAAAUGGGCACUCUUCAAUGUCGCACCGUCUAGUGAUUCAUUCAAAACAAGCAAGAACAACAAACACUUGGAAAAACAAAUGUGGUUAGCCUUAGCGCAAAACCAAGCAUUCAAGAGGUGAUUCACCAAACAAGUGUCGUCAUCAAGCAUAGCAUCGGGUGUGACAAAGGAUUGUGACAUGGCAUGUAAGCAUAUCAAUUGAGCACAAGCAAAGAUAUCAUGGGGACAAGUAUGCAAAUGUGAGGUAGUGAUGCAAAUAUGUGUGAGAAGAGAAUAAGCAUCUACCUCAAGGUCAUUGCAAACAAGCAUCAAGCACUCAAUGAAAGGUCUAUGGUAGGCAUAAGAAUCAUUCACAACACCAAAUAAAAUGAAGUGUCUAAACACAUGGGACAAGUUCAAGACAAUCCAAGCAUAAUGUGCAUAGGGUGUAGCGAAUACAGUGUGGCACUCAACACAAUAGAAAGAGCAAUUGUUCGUCAUGUGUGAGGCAAUCAAGUCAAUCAUGUGACAAGCAAAGGGACAUGGCAUAUGUGAAGAAAUGAUAUUGGUGCAACCAACCAUAUGAUAGUAGCAACACAAGGUAUAUAUGUCAUGAAGCAUGGAAAUGUGGCAAUCAUAGGUGAAAGAAAUAUCUCGAACAUGCGUGCAAAUGGUGCAAGCAACACAUGAAGUAUGAUCCACAAUAUCCAAGCUCAAGAAGGAUGUCACCUUGAAAGCAUUUCCUUGUGCAUUCUUCACAUUGCCGGAGUGGUAGGAAGUAUGGUGUAGAAGCGAGUUGUGGAAGAAUCUAUGAGGCUCGCUCUCGAGAGCUCGAAUGGUCAACUCACGUGAAGUGGAAGUCGAAAUAAAUUCCAAGUAUCCUACACAUGCACACAACAAAACAAAGAACAUAUGCACAUGGUAGAUAAACACAUCAUCCAUCAUGAUGCUUCUCAUCUUUUGCACAAAACCAUUAGUAACAAAAGUGCAUGAAUAAUAUGAUGCAACAAUGGCGAUAUUCAUGGCACUAGGUAUAUGGUGCAAAGAAGUAAGGCAAGCAUGCUUCACAAGGAAUAUGUCAAAAUCUCCAAACAAGUGUGAGAAUGCUAUGGGGGCCAUCUCAUGAGCAAGACGACAAUCAUGGUUGCACUCAAUACAUGGAAAAUGAUCUAGCAUGAGAGAGGCAACAUAUGGAGAUAUGUGACAAGAAGCAAUAACAAUCAUGUGCAAAGCAUUUAGAUGGUUGUCAUCAACCGCAUGAAAUGAGCAAGUAUGAAUCAUUGGUGAUGCAAGACAAGCAAGCAUAUCAAUCAUGUCGUGCAAACUAGUGGAGCGAAGAUGCAACACACUAGGGGAAAUCAUGGCAAUCAUGUCAUGUGAGCAAUUAAUAGGCAUAGACAAUGCACAUGACAUAUCGCAAGCACGAACACAAAGCAAGAUGAAAGUAUCAUCAUAGGAAUGGUGCACAAAAGGAACAUGGCAAUAACAAGCAAUAUCUCCACCAAGCUUGCAAAUACACAUACAAGUACUAGAAUCAAUCAUCAUUUGUAAUGCAAAGCAUGGGUCACAAAUGCACGUCAAAGGCAUAGGAAUGAGCAUAUCAUGCAAAGUGAACAUGGCAAGAUGGGCAUAUGAUAUGUAAUGAAUAAUAACCCAUAGCCAAGUGAGUGCCAUGUAGAAGGGCUGUGGGAAAGAUAAUCCAUGGGAUCCCAAAUCAUCGUUGCUCUCUAGAGCUCGUUUUGUCAACUCAUGGGAUUGCGAGGUUGACAAGUAUUCAUGGGUACCUACACAAAAGAGACACAAACCAAAGAAAUUGUGCGCGUGGUAAAUGUACACAUCAUCCAUCAUGAUGUGUAUGUGCACAUGCGAGUUAGCACAAGAUAAGCAUCGCUCACAGAAAUUUGAUGCAUGGUAUAUGAACAUGUCAUCCAUCAUGAAAGAAUAGUUAUUAUGUAUGACACGAUGGGGAUACAAAUUGAGAAUGCAAGUAUAUGACACAUCAAUAUCAUGUUUAAUCAUGGGGAGCAUAUGGUGCACACAAGUAUUGGGAUCAUGCAAUGAAUGGGGUGGAUCAAAAUCUCCUAAAAUGCAUGAGGAAACUAUGGGGGUCUCCUCAUGAGUAAUAUCACAUGGAUAAAAUGGACAACAUCCAAAACAAUGCAUAUCCGAAGCUAGGUGGGCAUGGCAUGGCAUAUGAGAUAAAUUAUGCAAAGGGAGCAUAUCAAUAUCAUCACAAGAAAAACAAAUGCCAAUAACCAUGGGCUUGUCAUCUAUGCCAUAUGUGCAAAUUGGGUUUAUUUUAAGGGCAUAUGCAUAGUCACUAUGAAGAGAUUGCAAAUAAGACAUAUGAUUGAUCUCAUGCAUAGCAUAUGACAAGUCAAGCGGAUUAGCAAACAUGAUGUGACCUAAAGAAUUGUCACAAGAAAUCCUAUGUAACAUGGCAUCACUACUAAUAGACUCCACAUGAGAAUCAUCAUACUCAUCAUAAAUGGGCACAUCAUCAUUUGGGGAAAUCAUACUAGCAUGAAGCAUGGUACUAGGUGGAUCAACAUCAUGCAAGCAAUCAAUGUCAAGAAUGUCCACUAGUGGGACUAGAUCAUCACCUUCACCUAUGUUACCUUGUUCAUUCCACUCAAGUGGUGUACGUGAGGUGGGAAAGACCAAAUGGUGGUCAUCUUCAUCUUGAUGGAACCAUGUGGGGGGUGCAUCAUAUUCCACCAUGGCCAUCGUCUUGUCCAAAGGGAGGAAGGAGUCGUCGAGGAUCGGCGCGUCAUCAUAAACGGGACCUAGCACCAAAUGAGAAGACACAAUAGAGGUAGAGGUCAAGUUGUUAGAAAUGCAAAUGGCCUCACGAGACCUAUCAACUAUCUCACUCUCUCUAUGUGGUGUUUCACUCAUUCCCUCAAAGUAGGUGCACUCAAAGUCACAUAUGGUGGAGUCACUCAUCUCACACAAGUGGUGGGGGUUAUCGCUCUCCUCACAUGGAAAGUGGGGCAACUCAUCAUAUAUGGGGCUAGUGGUGAAGUCACUCUCACUCUCAAUAUGGUGGCAAAAGUCACUCAAGUCAUCAUACAUCGCCGUGGUCGAAGGGAAGAUCCCAUGCUCAACCAUAUUGUCGUCGUCAUCGUGUAUGAAGGCCGAAGAUGGCACAUCAUCACUCUCCUUCAUGAUCGAAGGGAAAAUCCCAUGCUCGAUCAUCUCGUCACCGUCGCCGUUGAUGAAGGCCGAAGAUGGCACAUCAUCACUCUCGCCUCCAAAGAUGGAAGCAUCAUCCUUGCUCGCCACCUUGUUGCUCGCCUCCAAAGCUUGGUCCUUGAGGGUCUCCAUAGUCGUACUCAUCGCCGCACCGUCUUGAAAAAGAGUCGAAGUAGACUCAGCACCAUCAAUGCCACAAAGAGGGGUGGCGGUGAAGUCGAACUUGGGAGCAUCGUCUUGGAGCUCAUCGGGCUUGGACAUCGUGGUGGUACUAGCCUCAUGCUUGUCGUAGAGCUUGGUCGCCGCAAAGUGUGCUUGGGUUGGAGAAGCCUUGGCCUUCAUGAGUUCUUGUUCCGCCUUGAGAGCACCAAUGUAGUAGUCGUCAAUGGACUUGUAGUUCUCGAGGAAGAUGGUCUUGGAGAUGUCGUUGUGCAAUCCCAUCAUGAAGUGGAACUUCAUCGAAAUGGGGUCGUCCACGCCGGCUCGUCGCAAGGCAAUCUUCAUCUCCUUGAAGUACGCGUCGAUGGACUUGGAUCCUUGGAUGGUGUUCUCCAAUUGGCGUUGAAGUUGUUCCAUGUAGGUUGGAGGCACGAACUCUCGCCGCAAAGCUCUCUUCGUCUUGGGCCAACUCAUGUCAUAGUACUCCGAAGGUGUGUGAAGCCACCAUCAGCUCCCUUACAUAAUAAUAUUUCACUGUAUCAGCUACGAGGGGAAAAUCUGAAAGACAGAGGAUAGAGAGUGAGAGAAAGAGUGUGAGACUUGCGCCGCUCUCCAUUUCGAGGGGAUUUCGAUGAUUCUGGGGUGAUUGAACUAUUUCUUUACCUGUUCAAUUUCUAACGAAUCAAGAUAUCCUCUUGUUCCGGUAUAAAUAGUAGCUAUCUGCUCUUCCACUGGGAGAGGAUUUGCCUGGGAUUGUUUAAGCAAUUCCCUUAAUCGUCGACCCCUUGCCAAUUGAUUCUGACUUGUUUUAUCGAGAGCAGAGGCGAAUAAUAGGCUUGUCACUCUACGAAUUGAGCUAGUUCCAAUUUGGAUUUGCCAGCUACUUGUUUCAUGGCUUUAAUUUGAGCCGCAGAUCCUACUCUGGAAACUGAAAUACCCACAUUAAUAGCGGGUCGAAUUCCGGCAUGGAAUAGAUCCGCAGAUAAGAAUAUUUGUCCAUCUGUAAUGGAGAUUACAUUAGUAGGAAUAUAGGCGGAAACGUCUCCAGAUUGAGUCUCAACUAUUGGUAAAGCGGUCAUACUUCCUUCGCCUAAAAGAGAAUUUAAUUUCGCGGAUCUUUCUAAAAGGCGUGAAUGCAAAUAAAAAACAUCCCCUAGAUAAGCCUCACGGCCGGGACUUAAUAGAAGGGACAUUUGGCGAUAAGCUUGUGCCUGUUUGGAGAGAUCAUCAUAAAUUAUUAAAGUAUGCCGUUCGCGGUACAUAAAAGUCGUGGAGGUUUCUUGUGGCGCACUUCACUUGAUCUUCGGGACGAACUUGAUGUAGCUUGAGGUAGUCAUCCAUCAAACGCUCCCACUCGAGAUACUCCUCGGGUUCUUGAGUCCCAUAGAAAGGAAUCUCAUUGUCGGUGUUGAGGUCGUAGUAGCUCGUGGAAGUCGCGGACUUGAGCUUGGGGAGCUUCUCUUGAGCGUAGUCCUGGGGUGCUUGUUGGCGAAGAUGCCGUAUGUCCGUAAGCGAAGAUGCCUUGAAGUCGCUUGGCGAAGAUGCCAAGGGAGAUGGUGAAGUCGUUGAGCGGUUGUUGGUGUGGAGCUCUUGACCUUCACGUUCUUGUUGGUGAUGGUGUCGAUGCCGAUGUGAUCUUGCCGGAGAUGGUACCUCGGAAGCAUGUGCUCUUGAGCGUCUUCUUGAAGAUGAGGAAGAUCGCUUCUAGGACUUGAUGAGGGCUUUGAUCUCCUCCAUUUGAGCUUGCAUCUUGGCGUCGGAGUUGUUUUCCGUGGCAUCGAACUCGUCAUUGUUGUUGUAGACCGAAGGUGAAAUGCCUUGCCUAUCCAUCACAAGACUUGAGUAGAGGUGAGUAGGAAAUGAGAUAAACAAUACCAAGUUACCUUCUCCCAAAGUUGAGGAUGUAUCCCGUUUCACUCAAUGUGAAAUGAAAGAAUAGUGGAAUUGGUACCGGACUUGUUCACUCACACCUAUCAAGUAAAGCUUAUGGUAGAGCUCGGUGAGGAUAGUGGCACAAAAAUUUGAUGCAAAAUGUUAGCAAGAGUCAAUAAUGUUGAAAGAGAUUCACAAUUUCGCAAGAGAAACAAGUAGACCAAUAGCACUAUGUGGCACACGAAAACACACACACGGAUAGAUAAAUGGGAUCGUGCAACCAAGGAAUGAGCACAAAAUGUGGAAUCCACGGAAAACGCUCGUGUUGCACAACUCAAGAGAGACGCUAGCACGAUUGGUCAAUAGGCGGAUACGACACUUUGUGCACAACCUAUAAGAUGCAAAAUGGAUAAACUUUCUAUCCCAAGUAUGCUAUAUAUGUAUGGUUCCCGGUAUUUCUCACACAAUGAUCCAAGAUGAUCAAGUAUGAUACCAUAUGAUAUAUUUUGAUGCUAUGGCUAUUUCUUACAAGCUCUUUGCUCUCUUUCUUUUUCUUUGCUUAAAAGCUUAUUCUCUUUUUUUUGAUAUGGCCACUAUGCGAAAUGCACAAACCAAGAUAGCAAUUGUGUAUAUGCGGGAACAAACUUGUGAGACAAGAUAUGAUAUCAAUAUGAUAUGGUAUGUAUGCAAAGGAUGUUGUAGAUCACUAAUGUGCACAAGUAACGUGGCCCGACAAUAUUCAAAUUGCUAGUCUCGAUAGGCAAGUAACGCAAAAUGGGCUAAGGGGUUAUCAAUGCAAUUGCAAGGGGAAUAUACAAUGGUGUCAUUGAGGUUACCAUCCUUGGCGAUGAUGAGUGGCGGUGUUCUUGAUGUCGAGCCGUUCCUAGUUAGCCGAAACACCCUAGGAAACGGAAAAACCACAAACUCAAAAUCUCAAAGGCAAAUGUCAAAUUGUGGUAGCGGAAAGCGGUGGUGGUUUGCACUUGGCAAUGCGGAAGUGGAGUGAUGGCUAUACACGUGUCGGAGUUGAAGUUGCCGUCCCUAAGUAGCCAAAACACCUUAGGAGACACAACUCAUAACACAAACAAAAUGGGUUAAGUUGUGGUGGCGGAAGUGUAUGGUGGGCACGUCUAUGUGGAAAUGGUGGUGGUGGUUGAUGAAGAAGCAAACGUCCCUAAGUAGCCAAAACACCUUAGGAGACUCGAAUCACUACUCAAACAACCUCAAAUGCAAUGGAGAACAAAAAGGGUUAGGUUGCGGAAGUCGGUGGUGGCUAUGCGGAUAAUAUGGUGGAUGGCCUAGGAAAACUUGCCAAAUUUUCAAAUAUUUGAUGGAGUCAAAUGAUGUUGGUGAUAUUUUUGUGGGAUGGGGGACGUCAAUAUCUUCAAAACGAGCUAAAGAACGUCAAAAUCGGACUCCGGAUGAAUUAUUUGUGGUCAAAACGGUGGAAAAAAAAACUGAAAUGACAGGGGCCGGAUAUCCGGGGGUAGGGGCCGGAUUUCCGGGGGUGUAUGUCCAGAACCGUGCAGAUUUGGUGCUCCAGGGCCAGGAUGUCCGGCUUGGGGCCCGGAUGUCCGGCCGGAUGGCCCGGAUGUCCGGCCGGAUGGCCCGGAUGUCCGGCCGGAUGGCCCAGAUGUCCGGCCUGAGGCCCGGAUGUCCGGCCCGACGAUUCCAGAUCUCGUUUGGGUUUUCGAAUUGGGGGCGGAAAUUGAUGAUUUCGGGGGCAAAAUUGCGGAGAUUUCGUGGAUGGAAGAUGGGGAAACUUGGGGAAAUGCUAGAUCCACUUGAAACCAAGCAAAUCCAUGGAUCAAAAUCAACAAAACAUCAUCAAACCAACAAAUCACAAAAAAAAUUGGGGCUAUUUUUGGUGGGGAUUUUCGAAUUUAGGACGAAAUUAAGUAAAAGAAGGCUAGAAAACGAUGGGAGGGACUCCAAAUCUGUGAUAAACCUAAGCUCUGAUUCCAUAUGAUAUGGGGCUAACCUGGUGUAGGCCGAUCUUUCACGAUUGGAGUGGGAUCCCUCGAAGAACACGAUGAACACGGGGAAGAACGGGGAGAAAUCACAAGGGGAAACACUCAAGAACAAGUCCAAAUCACACAUCCACUAGACAAUCAAACACACAAGAUCACAAGGUACAUGAACAACAAAGGGAAAGAUACAAGGUAAGGUUCAUCUCCAAGAGGAGGUCUUGAUGAUAUCCUAGAUGGAUCUUCCCACAAGGGGGUCUUGAUGAUAUCCCGCAGGAUCUUCUCACAUGGAGGUCUUGAACUCCAUGGGAGUGGUAGUCUCUCUCUCUCUCAAGAGUAGAGGUAGGAGCAAAGCUCACCUAAGAAUGAGCUAUCAUAUUUGCUAACCCUAACUAGAG
rnacentral:lncRNA from 1 species